rnacentral:lncRNA from 1 species
UGGGAGGUACAGGGUGGCUGGAGAGUUGAGAUGAACCGAAACACCGCUUGCCAGAGACGGGACCGUGUUCUGUUUCAAAGAUUGCUUUCUAUUCCUCAUCUUCCUUGGUUCUCAUAACAGUCCGAAGAGGAAUCCUAAGCAAAGUGAGGCUCAGGAACAUCUAGGGCAUCUAGGAACAGACUUGAAUCACCACACGGUGGG